rnacentral:rRNA from 1 species
CAGGAUGAACGCUAGCGGCAGGCUUAACACACGCAAGUCGAGGGGUAACAGGAGUAGCAAUACUUGCUGACGACCGGCGCACGGGUGAGUAACGCGUAUGCAACCUACCUCUAACUGAGGAAUAGCCCGGAGAAAUCCGGAUUAAUACUUCAUAAUAUUUCGAAUUCGCAUGUUUUCGAAAUUAAAGCUUUGGCGGUUAGAGAUGGGCAUGCGUGACAUUAGUUAGUUGGUGAGGUAACGGCUCACCAAGACUGCGAUGUCUAGGGGGUCUGAGAGGAUGGUCCCCCACACUGGUACCGAGACACGGACCAGACUCCUACGGGAGGCAGCAGUGAGGAAUAUUGGGCAAUGGACGCAAGUCUGACCCAGCCAUGCCGCGUGCAGGAUGACUGCCCUAUGGGUUGUAAACUGCUUUUAUUUGGGAAGAAACCCCUGCUCGUGAGCGGGGCUGACGGUACCAAAAGAAUAAGCAUCGGCUAACUCCGUGCCAGCAGCCGCGGUAAUACGGAGGAUGCAAGCGUUAUCCGGAUUUAUUGGGUUUAAAGGGUGCGCAGGCGGGAAAUUAAGUCAGUGGUGAUCCUGCAGCUUAACUGUAGAAUUGCCAUUGAAACUGAUUUUCUUGAGUGCAGUUGAGGUGGGCGGAAUGUGUAAUGUAGCGGUGAAAUGCUUAGAUAUUACACAGGACACCGAUUGCGUAGGCAGCUCACUAAACUGUUACUGACGCUCAGGCACGAAAGCGUGGGGAGCGAACAGGAUUAGAUACCCUGGUAGUCCACGCCGUAAACUAUGAUCACUCGUUGUUGGCAAUAAACAGUCAGCGACUAAGCUAAAGCAAUAAGUGAUCCACCUGGGGAGUACGGUCGCAAGAUUGAAACUCAAAGGAAUUGACGGGGGCCCGCACAAGCGGAGGAACGUGUGGUUUAAUUCGAUGAUACGCGAGGAACCUUACCUGGGCUUAAAUGCAGAACGAUUUCCGCCGAAAGGUGGUUUCCUUCGGGCGUUUUGCAAGGUGCUGCAUGGUUGUCGUCAGCUCGUGCCGUGAGGUGUCGGGUUAAGUCCCAUAACGAGCGCAACCCCCAUCGUUAGUUGCCAUCGGGUAAUGCCGGGGACUCUAACGAAACUGCCGGUGUAAACCGUGAGGAAGGUGGGGAUGACGUCAAAUCAGCACGGCCCUUAUGUCCAGGGCUACACACGUGUUACAAUGGCCAGUACAAAGGGCAGCUACCUGGUGACAGGAUGCUAAUCUCUAAAACUGGUCUCAGUUCGGAUCGAAGUCUGCAACUCGACUUCGUGAAGGUGGAUUCGCU